UCGGUCUCAUUGUUUUCCCCAACUCCAAUGCUGUUCACGCUUCUUCUUCAAGCCAUCCCUCCGAAGCAGGAACACCAUCUUUACCCUGGGCACCCGUGGUGCUGUCAUCUCACCGGCCAAGCUGGAGGCCCCCAUCCUGGUGCCCCAUACUGCCCAGGGUGGAGAGCAGAGGUGUAUCCGUCAAGCGAUCAUCCGAGUCCAGCACUAAGCUCUCCUCCCAAUUCUUGCCGCGAAUAUCUUUUCAUUUGUGAAAUAUUCGUCAUGUCUGGCCUGGCUGCACAUGACCUGUUCCACGCUGUCAUGGGCUGCCCGCUCUCCAUGACACUGAAACACCUGGAGUCCUACCUGGCUGACUGCUACGACGCCAUUGCUGUUUUUCUCUGUAUCCACAUUGUUCUCCGGUUCCGCAACAUUGCAGCGAAGAGGGACGUCCCUGCCCUGGACAGGUANUGGGAGCAGGCGCUUGCCUUGCUGUGGCCUCGGUUUGAGCUGAUCCUGGAGAUGAAUGCCCAGAGUGUCCGCAGCACUGACCCGCAGCGCCUUGGGGGACUGGACACUCGGCCCCACUAUUCAGCCCAAGUCACUCAGCUGAUCCAUGGCUGUGGCAGUUCCUGGAAGGUGUCAGUGGAGUCCCCGAGUCAGGAUGUAAUGUGGAGUUUUACCAACUUCCGAAAUGGAACCAGCAUCAUCCAGGGGGCGCUGACCCAGCUGAUCCAGCUCUACCAUCGCUUCCACCGGGUGCUGUCUCAACCCCAGCUCUUUGGGCUCCCAGCCAGGGCCAAGCUCAUCAACUUCCAUCACCUCAUGGUGGAGCUGACGAAACACAAGCCAAACUCCUAAUUCAGACCCACCAACCCCGAGGGCCCUAAGCUCCCGUGAACUCUGUGCGUCACACAUUGUCACCUGGGACCCCUUUCCCAUCCCUUUUGUCUCCACAGCUUCCACACACCCCACUCAGCCUCCAUUGCCAGGACUCUGCCUCAACAAAAUGCACCCAAGGCCACUCCCUGGGUUUCUGAGUGAGAUGACCUUCAUUUCCAGUCUGGUCAGCUCCUCUGCUGUUCAUUCACAGCCUGUGAGCUUCC